rnacentral:rRNA from 1 species
ACUCCUACGGGAGGCAGCAGUGGGGAAUCUUAGACAAUGGGCGCAAGCCUGAUCUAGCCAUGCCGCGUGAGUGAUGAAGGCCUUAGGGUCGUAAAGCUCUUUCGCCAGGGAUGAUAAUGACAGUACCUGGUAAAGAAACCCCGGCUAACUCCGUGCCAGCAGCCGCGGUAAUACGGAGGGGUUAGCGUUGUUCGGAAUUACUGGGCGUAAAGCGCGCGUAGGCGGACUAGUCAGUCAGAGGUGAAAUCCCAGGGCUCAACCCUGGAACUGCCUUUGAUACUGCUAGUCUUGAGUUCGAGAGAGGUGAGUGGAAUUCCGAGUGUAGAGGUGAAAUUCGUAGAUAUUCGGAGGAACACCAGUGGCGAAGGCGGCUCACUGGCUCGAUACUGACGCUGAGGUGCGAAAGCGUGGGAGCAAACAGGAUUAGAUACCCUGGUAGCGACUGA